rnacentral:rRNA from 1 species
UGUGUAUAAGUUACAAAGUCUAACCUGCCCACUGAGUAGACUUAAAGGGCCGCGGUAAUUUGACCGUGCGAAGGUAGCAUAGUCAGUAGUCUUUUAAUUGAAGACUUGAAUGAAUGGUUGGACGAGAAACUAACUGUCUCUUUUAUGGAGUUUGAAUUUAACUUUUGAGUGAAAAGGCUUAAAUUAUUUAGGGGGACGAUAAGACCCUGUAAAACUUAAUAUAAAUUUGGUUUUAUUUGUGAUUUUAGUGAAAAGAAGUUUAAAUUAGUUUAUAUUUUGUUGGGGUGACAUAGAUAUAAAAUGUAACUGUCUAAAAAAUUUAAUAAUUUUAAUUAGUGUUUGAUCCUUCUUUGGGGAUUUAAAGAGUAAGUUACUUUAGGGAUAACAGCGUAAUUUUCUUUGAGAGUUCUUAUCGACAAGAGUAGUUGCGACCUCGAUGUUGAAUUAAAAUUUUAGUUAGGUGUAGCCUUUUAACUGGUGGGUCUGUUCGACCUUUAAAAUUUUACAUGAUUUGAGUUCAAACCGGC